CGCAAUGGGCGAAAGCCUGACGGAGCAACGCCGCGUGAGGGAGGAAGGUCUUUGGAUUGUAAACCUCUUUUCUCAAGGAAGAAGUUCUGACGGUACUUGAGGAAUCAGCCUCGGCUAACUCCGUGCCAGCAGCCGCGGUAAUACGGGGGAGGCAAGCGUUAUCCGGAAUUAUUGGGCGUAAAGCGUCCGCAGGUGGUCAGCCAAGUCUGCCGUCAAAUCAGGUAGCUUAACGACCUAACCGCGGUGGAAACUGGCAGACUAGAGAACGGUAGUUGUA
rnacentral:rRNA from 1 species